rnacentral:rRNA from 1 species
AAACUUUCAACAACGGAUCUCUUGGUUCUGGCAUCGAUGAAGAACGCAGCGAAAUGCGAUAAGUAAUGCGAAUUGCAGAAUUUCCGUGAGUCAU